rnacentral:rRNA from 1 species
CCUACGGGAGGCAGCAGUGAGGAAUAUUGGUCAAUGGGCGGGAGCCUGAACCAGCGAAGUCGCGUGAGUGAAGACGGUCCUAUGGAUUGUAAACCUCUUUAGGCGGGGAGCAAUGCCGGGCACGCGUGCCCGGAGGGAGAGUACCCGCAGAAUAAGCAUCGGCUAACUCCGUGCCAGCAGCCGCGGUAAUACGGGGGAUGCGAGCGUUAUCCGGAUUGAUUGGGUUUAAAGGGUGCGUGGGCGGAUUUUUAAGUUAGAGGUAAAAUUACCGGGCUCAACCCGGGCCGGCGGUUGAAACUGGGGAUCUUGAGUGGGCGAGAGGUAUGCGGAAGGCGGGGUGUAGCGGUGAAAUGCAUAGAUAUCACGCAGAACUCCGAUUGCGAAGGCAGCAUACCGGCGCCCGACUGACGCUGAGGCACGAAAGCGUGGGGAUCGAACAGGAUUAGAUACCCCUGUAGUC